CCUACGGGGCGCAGCAGGCGCGAAAACUUUACAAUGCGGGAAACCGUGAUAAGGGGACACCGAGUGCCAGCGUCAUACGCUGGCUGUCCAGGUGUGUAAAAUACACCUGUUAGCAAGGGCCGGGCAAGACCGGUGCCAGCCGCCGCGGUAACACCGGCGGCCCGAGUGGUGAUCGUGAUUAUUGGGUCUAAAGGGUCCGUAGCCGGUUUGGUCAGUCCUCCGGGAAAUCUGAUAGCUCAACUAUUAGGCUUUCGGGGGAUACUGCCAGGCUUGGAACCGGGAGAGGUAAGAGGUACUACAGGGGUAGGAGUGAAAUCUUGUAAUCCCUGUGGGACCACCUGUGGCGAAGGCGUCUUACCAGAACGGGUUCGACGGUGAGGGACGAAAGCUGGGGGCACGAACCGGAUUAGAUACCCGGGUAGUCCCAGCCGUAAACGAUGCUCGCUAGGUGUCAGGCAUGGCGCGACCGUGUCUGGUGCC
rnacentral:rRNA from 1 species